rnacentral:rRNA from 1 species
GUCCACGCCGUAAACGAUGGAUACUAGCUGUUGGGAUUUAUCUCAGUGGCUAAGCGAAAGUGAUAAGUAUCCCACCUGGGGAGUACGUUCGCAAGAAUGAAACUCAAAGGAAUUGACGGGGCCCGCACAAGCGGUGGAGCAUGUGGUUUAAUUCGAUGAUACGCGAGGAACCUUACCAAGGCUUAAAUGUAGAUUGACCGGUUUGGAAACAGAUCUUUCGCAAGACAAUUUACAAGGUGCUGCAUGGUUGUCGU